CCUAGGUCACUUUGGAGAAAGACUGAGGGAAAGCUCAUUGUUUAUACUUGUGAUGGACGGCCAGGGCUCCUCUUCAAGGAGAUGCAACCUCACCUUCAGUCAGUGGGCUCUGGGCCUAUGAAUGAACUUACCUGGGAGCCAGGCAGAGGGCCUUAUUUUUUUUCCAUUAUAGCAUCUAAUUUCAGCUUUCUUUCCUCUAGCUCUUAAGCUUUUAUUAUUUUUUUCUUAUAUAUAGAGCUAAAGAAACACUCUACUGCUGUCCAUCCAUGCUACCCCUUGGAAUAUCAUGGUCUGUAUCAGACAUCAUCACAGGCUAGGAGCAAAGCCCUGCCAGGUGGCACCUGUGUAAGGCUAAUCAAGACUUGAGGCUUUGCGGCAGCAGUGGCUUGAAUAAGAGGUGGGGGUUGAGAGGAUUUGAAAUAGGACACACAUGUAUCUGAUGAGCCCAGGCCUGGGCUCAGACAGAGUCUGCUGGCCCCAGGUGAUUUCUACCUUCUGGCGUUGUGGAAGCCACUCCCCUUGCGCAAGUUCAGUUCAGCCGCUCAGUCGUGUCUCUUUGCGACCCUAUGGACUGCAGCAAGCCAGGCCUCCCUGUCCAUCACCAAUUCCUGGAGCUUACUCAAACUCAUGUCCAUCAGGUCACCUCACCGUCAAGAGAUGGCUGUUGGAGCUCUAUCCAUCACUUCUGCCUUGCAGACAACAGGAAGAAGGAAAGCAGGCUCUGAGAACCAAAGAUAUACUUUUGCUGCUGCUGCUGCUGCUGCUAAGUCGCUUCAGUCGUGUCCGACCUGUGCAACCCCAUGGACUGCAGCCUACCAGGCUUCUCCGUCCAUGGGAUUCUCCAGGCAAGAACACUGGAGUGGGUUUUGCUACAUGUUUUUAAAUGAAUCCUUUUUUAGUCCAUCUGCAAAAUGAUUGGCCAUGAAUGGAAACAGUGGUACUGGUGCUUCCAGGGGAACAUUGGACUGGAUUACAUAGGAAGAGUCUUGGUGCUGGAGGAGCUGGAUGGAUUAUUAAUCCGAGCAAAUAGUGACUUUCAUAACAUGGUUGAAAGAACACCCUGUUACAACCUUGAUGAGAUCCUUUUAGACUUUUGAUGUUUACUCUCUUUGUCUUAUUUAUUCAGUCAGAUUUGUCACUGAUGAUAUAGAUGGCUGUACACCUAUUAAAGUUACUGUCAUAAACCAUAAAGCAAAAGGAUGAAUGGAACUUCAGAAUGAGUUGGGUUUUGUAUCUGCAAGAAAGAUGGUUUCUUGUUGUUUAUACUCCAGCCCAGGGAAUAGAUUGCAGGGCAAAUAAUAAUGUUAAUGAUGAUGAUAAUAGUGGCUGACACUUAGCCAGCACUUCCUAUGUUCUAGACAUUGCUCUAAAACUUUUAAAAGGUUUUAAGUUAUGUAAUCCCAGAAAGUGCCGUAGUUAUCCCCAUGUGAAGUGGAAACAGAGGAAGACUAAUUGCCCAAGAUCACAUACCUGAGAACCUGAACUCAGAUAAUUCUGACCCUAAAGCCUGUGCUCAUAAACAUACUGCCUCUCUGCUCAGCAGUGUUCAGCAGUCUGUGGAGGACCUUGAUGUAGAUUAUACACGUUCCUCACUUUCUGUUCCCCGUACCAGAGGACCCAUUCUGCUAUCUCCAUGCUUUCCUGCCACAUAGAAUCAUCUUUUCCUAAUCCAAUAUUUGCUGGGACUGUAGUUAGAGAUUUAGAAACAAACUGAACUUUAGGCCCACUAAAGUUCUGCUGGUACUGCUUCCAGAGGAAUAUUGGAAUUACACAGGAAGACUAAUAACUCCAAACUUUAGGGAUGACCAGUAAAGCAACAAUCUGUAAAAGAAUGCCCAUCUCGGAGCAGGGAAACCUGGCCUUGAUUCAGUUCAGCUGGGACACACACUUGGUCCCAAGGGAACAGAUUCUGAUCCAGUGGGUCAGGUAUGGGGCCUUGUAACUAUGUACUUAAAGUAUUUCUCCAAGGAAUUCUGACACUCUUCCCAGGUUUGAUAAUCCCUAAACUAGAGCAUGUGGAAAGUAAACUAUUCUAGGGAAAAAAGACAGUGAAUUGUCACUGAUUAUGUUCAUUAGAUAAGGUGAUGGGGCCCUUUAACAGUCUGAUCCUGGAGGGCAAAAGGAAAGAAUCAGGAUUUAGGGCAGAUUUACUCUUAAAACCCCUUUGCUUAAGCAAAGUAUGCCGAGUAGCUCCCCAGCAUCACAUGAUUGGAGCUUUCUCGACACCUUCCUGUGUGCUGGUCAUGCUGCUGUUGCAUGAUGAACCCAGGGGGGAGGCAGCUAGCUAGACCUGAGGAGUUAGAAAGAUUUCUUAGACAAGUUGGCCUUUAGACAGAAGGCAUUUACAUGCAAGGUCCUUCUUUGGACCCAAAUCUUAAAGCAUUUUAGAAUCUGAACAUAAAGAGGUUUACUUUGGAAGACAUAACAGUCGUUCGGUGAGUGGCUCAUUAGCUUCAACCUGACCAUUCCAUUCCGAGGACAAUGAUAAAAACUGACUACCUCACCUCGCUUCACCCACCCUGACUUGCCUCUUUAUUUCUCUUCCUGUUGGUCUAGUCCUCUCAGGUGAAAAUCACUAACUAGGAACUAAAACAGAAAUUUUAUCAUAAUCCUUGGUGUAUUUUAGUCAUCUUUACUACAUGUAGAGUCUGCCCAUUGUGGAUUGUGUUUACAUUUUUAGGUUGUUAAUUUAAUUAUCAAGUAUUUGAAACAUAUAGACAAUUAAGGAAAUUAAAUGAUACCCAUAUUUCUAUCUUCCAUCUUUAACAAAUGUUAAUAUUUUACUCUGUUAGCUCCAGAUUGUUUUCACUUGUGAAGACCUAAAAUGUUACAGAGACUGUCAGUGCCUACCCCCAUCUUGGGUCUGGCUGCAUGGGACCUUGGGGACCCUAUACUUCCUUUGACAGCUGAGUCCUGAAGAUUCCAGGAAGCACACAGGGUUCUGGAACAUGGCAGAGUUGGUCACCCAAAAGUGGUUUGUUUUUUUUUUCUCCUGAUCGGCCUCUGUGCUAUAUCAGGAGUGUUUGCAUGAGUGUUGGGAGGAUGGCAACAUUCCCACUCUGAGUUUUAGAUUCUAUUUAUCCAUCUUUAUUCCACUGCAACAGGUUCAUUCAAGCCCUCAUUAACUCUAGAUCAUAGCAGUAGCCACUCUAUGGGACUCCUCUCCUCACAACUUACUCAGCUGUUACCACACACAGUGCACAUUUGGAUGGCUGGAUGUCAUCACAUUUCUUCUGAAGUGUACCCAUUUCCAUGGGAGUUUUGGCAAGAAAACACAAGAGAGGAAGACAUUGUCUCUGAUAUAAUAAUAAUCGUAAUAAUGGUGCAAAUAUUUACCGAAGUUUCACUCUGUGCCAAGAAUUGUUCUAUAAACUUUACAUGAAUUAAUUUAUUAAAUUUUCAUAGCCUCUCUAUGACAUACUAUUAUAAUUAUCCAAGUUUUAAGGAUGAAGAAACUUAGACACUAUUCUAAGUGACUUGCUCAGAUUUUCCCAACUAGUAUGUGGCAGAGCUAAGGUUUGGACAUGGGCCACCUGGCUUUAAAGCCCACAUUAUUUAUCACUAUGCCACCCUGCCUUUCACCGUAGCUCCUGAUGACAAUGAAUGAAACAGCAAGCCCAUUUGGGGCCUUCAUAUUUUUGCUAAUCCUUUAUGCAUAGUGUACUAUGUCAGAUCUGUCAAAAGUUGGUAGUAUUCAGCAUCUUUUGAAUGAGUUCUGUUGGGAAAUUAUUUUAAAAUUGAAGUAUCUGUAAUGCUAACACAUUUCUGCAUAGGAACACUUUUAUAAGGAGUACUUAAAUUUCCAGACAAAUCUGUAAUCUAGUUAAGCCAUGAAAUAUCUAAAUAAGCUCAUUUGCAAUAAAACAAGAGAAAAAUAGCAAUGUGGUUAAAAUAUUAGUAAAAAAAAACAAAGCCAAAGUUGUUAUAUUUUAUUCUUAGAUGAUUGAACUUAAGGGAAAGAAGGAUGAAGAAAAAUAAACUUUGGGAAGAUUUUAGAGUACUUAUAAGGCUUUUGGAGAUAAAUGUUUAUUAUAUGCAAUUUCAUUUUAAAUCUAAAGGAUUUCUUUUUAUCUGACACAAUUGUGGUAAUAGUGGUGUUUUUAUACUUCUAAAACUCCAAAACAAGAAGAACUUCUUGUUGUUUGCAUACAUAACCAAGAAAAGAUGAGAGAUUUGCUAAAGUAAUUAUGUAAGAGUUAGAAAAGAAAAGGGAAAAGAGUUAUAGAGAAUAUACGUGCUUGUUUUGUAAAUAAAGAUCCUUUGAACUGCAAUUAGCUUCAAGAAUAGACAUAGAGUGGGAAGUGCAUGUACAUGCCUUCCAAGUGUGAAACGAUUGUAAGGAAAAGAUUUUGAGUAACAUAUUUCCUUCCCGCAGUCAGAGUAGCAUCAUUGACUCAAACCGUCAUAGUGGAUGGAAGGAGAAGGAAAGUGUGCAACCAGCUAGAAGCCCAUGUUACCAAAGGGCAUUUGUAAUUUAACACAUGCUUUGUAAUUUUCUGAUGUAAAGUAUUUUCUUUUAGGUUAAAAAUGGAUUAGGCAUGCUUUUGAGAAAAUGAUGUUAGAAAUCUUGUGUUCUUGGAAAACAAAAGUGAAUGUACUGUGUGUGUGUAUAUAUAUACAUAUACAUAUAUAUACACAUACAUAUAUAUAUUUUUUUUUCAUGGCACCAUUAAUAUAGGGUCUCUUGGCACCUACAAAUGUAGAGUUUCAUGCCACCAUUUGCAGAAUCUC